CCUACUUAAUAAUUUAUCAAAAAACGACAACUUCAGGCUUACUCGAAUCGUCCUGAUUAAUUAAAUUACCACAGGGACUAUGAACACGGUUCUGCAUAGAUCAUCGGACACUACAUGGGGACAAGGACUACACUAGCUGACAGGAGGAGCAACAGCAGAGGACAUUGGAUCUGACAAACACACACACACACACACAUACACACACACACACUGAAGGAGAGACUGUCUGACAAUAACGCCCCCUCAAUGCAAGCAUACGCCGGCGCAACAAUUAACAGCCAGCCUCAGUACCAGAUGAGACCCUCUCCUGCACUGUCAUCCUGAGCCUCCAGGGGGCCCCGGUCCCACGGCGGGACACCCACUCACCUGGCCCACCUUCACCCUGAACCCCCCAUCCCCAG